CCUACGGGGGGCUGCAGUAAGGAAUAUUGGUCAAUGGACGCAAGUCUGAACCAGCCAUGCCGCGUGGAGGAUGAAGGUCCUCUGGAUUGUAAACUUCUUUUAUUUGGGAAGAAACUCCCGAUUUCCAUCGGGAUUGACGGUACCAGAUGAAUAAGCACCGGCUAACUCCGUGCCAGCAGCCGCGGUACUACGGAGGGUGCCGGCGUCACCCGGAUUAACGGGUUUGAAGGGGGGCGGGGGUGGCCAGGUAGAAAUCUCCGGGCUUAACCCGGAAACUGCCAUUGAUACUAUUUGUCUUGAAUACUCUGGAGGUGAGCGGAAUAUGUCAUGUAGCGGUGAAAUGCUUAGAUAUGACAUAGAACACCCAUUGCGAAGGCAGCUCACUACGGAAAUAUUGACGCUGAGGCACGAAAGCGUGGGGAUCAAACAGGAUUAGAUACCCUUGUAGUC
rnacentral:rRNA from 1 species